CCCCCCUCCUUGGCUUGUCACCUUGGGCAACAAAGCUGGGACGAGCGGCUGUGCUGGCUGGUGCCAUGCGCGGAAGGAGCUGGACGCGGUGUGGUUGAGGGGCUGGGAUCACAGUUGGGCUGAGACAACGGUGGGAUGGCAGCCGGUAGUGACUCGACUCCACCAGGGUGAUGGCCGUGGGAAUUAAGAGAAGUCAGAUGCAGCUGA
rnacentral:lncRNA from 1 species